GCCUUCCCUCAGUCCCUUAACUUCUUCAAGACCCUACAUUGAUGUGCACAAAUGAGCACUUGAACCAGAAUCAAGAAUCCAACUAGAAGAAGAGCAAACCAUUAGAUUAGUUUCAAUAAUGAGCAACUUAGACGUACCUUCAGAAGGUCCAUCUUCAUUCUUGCUCUUGACAGUCGCUAGGUAGGCCAGACAGUUUCUUCUCCAGUGG
rnacentral:lncRNA from 1 species